GUGUCAGCCGCCGCGGUAAGACGAACCGUGCGAACGUUGUUCGGAAUCACUGGGCUUAAAGGGCGCGUAGGCGGGCUGUCAAGUCCGGGGUGAAAUCCUCCAGCUCAACUGGAGAAUGGCCUCGGAUACUGAUGGUCUCGAGGAGGAUAGGGGCACACGGAACUGUGGGUGGAGCGGUGAAAUGCGUUGAUAUCCACAGGAACUCCGGUGGCGAAAGCGGUGUGCUGGAUCCUUUCUGACGCUGAUGCGCGAAAGCCAGGGGAGAAAACGGGAUUAGAUACCCCGGUAGUCC
rnacentral:rRNA from 1 species